ensembl:lncRNA
UAGGUUAUAGAUAGUGCUUUAUAUUCUCAGAUAGACAUGAUUGGAUGGUCCUUAUUACACAUUGAAUACAACUAGUUUCAAUACUGCAACUCCUCGGUGAAACAAUACAACGUGGGUUGAUCAGCCAAUCACAUUAAAAUAGACUUUACACUGCAUGUUCCUCUCAUGUUUCUUCCAAGAUGUAAAACUGGGAUUGUAAUAUGUGACUAUUGAAAAACAAACAGAAAUGUGUCCUUCUUCAUAGCCUACCAUAUGAGAAAGCUUAUGGAACUAAAUGUCGUUUUACAACUAGACCUACAUGUUUUCAGACAUUCAAAAUGGAAAAGCAGAUUUCCUGAAGUAAACAGGCAAAAGGAGGAUUUCAAGAUCACGGUAUCCAGAGGUUUAUAACAUUUUAAAAUGACAUUUUAACAAAAUGGUGGGCUGGGCCAAGACUGAUCAGCUCAACUAACCAUUAAAAAGAAUAUUGUAAGAAGAGAAUUAGUUUCAGUCAAUGUAAGAUCAAUGCAAACACACAAUAUAAAACGUUUAUUUACCGAAUAUAAAACAUUUACCUACCUAAUUUAUAAAAGUUUACCUUGCUAAUCUGAAUGAAACAUCUAGAGGUGUAUGUAUCAUACACUUAGCAGAGCAACAUGUCAAUAAACACACAAAAACUCAACAAUAUGCUCUUAUAGUUACGGCUUCUCCUUUGGUUGGAAUUGUCCUUUUUUUAAAAGCUAUAGAUCACAAGAACAUCUAAAGUGUUGUUAGUGUGUGAUGAGAUACAAAUAAAUACUGCAGGAAUCUUUUGGGACUCGUGACAGCGUUACUGAAAAGUGCACAGCUUCCUUCAGUCUUUUCCUAAGUGCAUAAUUAUAAUCUGCAACAUCACUGUAAUAAAUAAGAGACAAGUUUCACAAUAUAUUUCCCAUAUACAUCCGUUUUUGUUUGUCCUUGAAUUGCUUAAUUGAUGUCCCAGCAUACACAGGGUGUGUUUCAAUUGGAACAGGUCAUUCUCCUAGUGGAGGAAAACCUGCAAAACAAAAAACAAUACCUCUGGUUACAUAGACUGCAGAACAUUAAAGUAGAGUCCAAUAUUCUGUCCUUUGUCCCUCAGUAUGCACUGCUUUUACUGGUAAAAUAAAUAUUGUGGAAACUGUCUAGCCCGUACCUAGACCUAUCCAAUACUUUACAUAUGGGGAGUAGUGAACAAGUACACACUUCAGGAGAUUUGUAGUUACAUAGCAUUUAUACUGCAUGAAUACAUAGGAACACACCUAAACAGGUAUUUAGAGCAAAAAGAUUAAAAUAUUUAGCUGAUUCUGAGAAGCGUUAGCUAGCGAGCUAGCCUACCUGUUUCCAAUUGGUUGGAUGAGUAAUGCAGAUGUAUUCUAGCCUAGCUAGCCUACCUGUUUCCAAUUGGUUGGAUGAGUAAUGCAGAUGUAUUCUAGCCUAGCUAGCCUACCUGUUUCCAGUUGGUUGGAUGAGUAAUGCAGAUGUGUUCUAGCCUAGCUAGCC